rnacentral:rRNA from 1 species
CGGCGUGCUUAACACAUGCAAGUCCACUUAAGCACUUUACCUGAUUUCCUUCGGGGAUGAUUGUUCUGUGACUGAGUGGCGGACGGGUGAGUAACGCGUGGAUAACCUGCCUCACACAGGGGGAUAACAGUUGGAAACGGCUGCUAAUACCGCAUAAGCGCACAGCACCGCAUGGUGCAGUGUGAAAAACUCCGGUGGUGUGAGAUGGAUCCGCGUCUGAUUAGCUUGUUGGCGGGGUAACGGCCCACCAAGGCGACGAUCAGUAGCCGGCCUGAGAGGGCGACCGGCCACAUUGGGACUGAGACACGGCCCAGACUCCUACGGGAGGCAGCAGUGGGGAAUAUUGCACAAUGGGGGAAACCCUGAUGCAGCGACGCCGCGUGAGCGAUGAAGUAUUUCGGUAUGUAAAGCUCUAUCAGCAGGGAAGAUAAUGACGGUACCUGACUAAGAAGCUCCGGCUAAAUACGUGCCAGCAGCCGCGGUAAUACGUAUGGAGCAAGCGUUAUCCGGAUUUACUGGGUGUAAAGGGAGCGUAGGCGGUCCUGCAAGUCUGAUGUGAAAGGCCGGGGCUCAACCCCGGGACUGCAUUGGAAACUGUAGGACUAGAGUGUCGGAGGGGUAAGUGGAAUUCCUAGUGUAGCGGUGAAAUGCGUAGAUAUUAAGAGGAACACCAGUGGCGAAGGCGGCUUACUGGACGACUACUGACGCUGACGCUCGAAAGCGUGGGGAGCAAACAGGAU